rnacentral:misc_RNA from 1 species
AUUAGAGAGUAUAAAAACUCCCAACCCAUGUGAACAUGCCUACGUUGCCUCGGCGGGGGCCUAAACCCCCCCGCCGAUGGCCCAGUAAACUCUGUUUUAUUCUGAAAUUCUGAAUCUUAAAGCAAAUAAGUUAAAACUUUCAACAACGGAUCUCUUGGUUCUGGCAUCGAUGAAGAACGCAGCGAAAUGCGAUAAGUAAUGUGAAUUGCAGAAUUCAGUGAAUCAUCGAAUCUUUGAACGCACAUUGCGCCCAUUAGUAUUCUAGUGGGCAUGCCUGUUCGAGCGUCAUUAAUACCAUUAAGCCCUGUAGCUUAGCGUUGGGAGCCUGCGGCUGCAGCUCCUCAAAACUAGUGGCGGAGUCAGCGUAUACUCUAGGCGUAGUAAUAACCCACUCGCUUCUGCGUUGCGCUGGCGCCUGCCGUAAAACAACCCAUUUCUAAAGGUUUGACCUCGGAUCACGUAGGAAUACCCGCUGAACUUA